UUAAGUUCAGCGGGUAUUCCUACCUGAUCCGAGGUCAACCUUCAGAAGUUGGGGGUUUAACGGCGUGGCCGCGCUUUGUCCCGUUGCGAGGUUAGAUUACUACGCAGAGGAGUACAGCGUGACCGCCACUGGUUUCAGGGCCUGCGGCAGCCGCAGGUCCCCAACACAAGCCGGGGGCUUGAUGGUUGAAAUGACGCUCG
rnacentral:misc_RNA from 1 species